AGUCGACGAGGUGCUUUGCACCUAGUGGCGAACGGGUGAGUAACACGUAUCUAACCUACCUUUUAGUGGGGGAUAACAGUUGGAAACGACUGCUAAUACCGCAUACGACACCAUUAUGGCAUCAGAAGGUGUUAAAAGGCCCGUUUGGGUCGCUAGAAGAUGGGGAUGCGGCGUAUUAGCUAGUAGGUGGGGUAAUUGCCCACCUAGGCAAUGAUACGUAGCCGAACUGAGAGGUUGAUCGGCCACAUUGGGACUGAGAUACGGCCCAGACUCCUACGGGAGGCAGCAGUAGGGAAUUUUUCACAAUGGACGAAAGUCUGAUGAAGCAAUGCCGCGUGAGUGAUGACGGUCUUCGGAUUGUAAAGCUCUGUUGUAAGGGAAGAAUAGGUAAAAGAGGAAAUGCUUUUAUUUUGACGGUACCUUACCAGAAAGCCACGGCUAACUAUGUGCCAGCAGCCGCGGUAAUACAUAGGUGGCAAGCGUUAUCCGGAUUUAUUGGGCGUACAGGGUGCGUAGGCGGUUCGAUAACUUUGAGGUUAAAUCCCGGGGCUCAACCCCCGGUUCGCCUUGAAAACUGUCUUACUAGAAUACAGGAGAGGCAGAUGGAAUUCCAUGUGUAGCGGUGGAAUGCGUAGAUAUAUGUAGGAACACCAGUGGACGCAUGCGGUCUACUGGCCUGUUAUUGACGCUGAAGGCACGACAGCGUGGGGGAGCCAAUAGG
rnacentral:rRNA from 1 species